GUGUCUCCUCAUACAGUUGGAGUCCAAUCUAACAUACUUCUGUAGUGCAUCUACUUUUAGAUGAGUAAGCUUUUGGGUCCAUGAUCGUGAUGCAGUGCAUUCAUAUUUUUUAACAAACUAUUUUUAAAUGUAUCAAGUCUGGUAUGGUUGUGAGUCCUUCUAUUUUCCCCUUAGAACAAACGGGUAAAUGUGCAGAUGUAUCUUCAUCCAGUCCUGUUUACUCAUUAGUCUCCUGUGGCUUCCCUUGUGUGCACUCUUCCUCUGUUGUGGUCUCUCCUCCAUUGAUCUGACCAUGUCUCUCCCUGCUUAGGUGCCUUGCACCAUGGAUAGCUUGGCCUGCGACUCCCACCCUCCCUUAGAUCCGUGCGCAUGCCUCAGUCUGUGAGGUAUCACUUUGUUCAGCUGCCUCCCACAUCACUUGAGAUAAGCAUUCGUCUUUGGUUUAUAGUGACUCCCCGAGUAGUCACAAUAUCUGGAUCCUUAUAAGUCUAACUCAAGCAGGGCUUUGUUAUACUGUUUGAUGCUUACUUUUUUUGUUUGUUUGUUUUAGAUUUUUAAGAGCUCUUUAUAGUCAUAAUAAUGAUGUAUAUACUCUAAAGUAGCAAAUUAUGGGAAUUAUCUUUUCUUCAGGUGAGACAGCCAGUGCUUUGGUGAAUUACAGAGCACUGUACCCUUUUGAAGCAAGAAACCAUGAUGAGAUGAGUUUUAGUUCUGGGGAUAUAAUUCAGGUAAGAAAUGAAAGCCUUUCUACUCAUGAGUAAGCUAAUCACAAAUCAUUGUACCAUGUUUUCUACAAGGUUAACUUUGAUUUUUAUGUAUUGCUAAAAAUAUUUUAAAACAUUAUCUCACUUAGCCCUUGCAAGCAUCUCUCAGAGCUGUACAGGGCAGUAAUUACUACCAUAAUAUUACCAAAAACGAAAACUUAAGCUCAGACACAUUGUAACUGUCAGCAUUGUGGUGACAGAGUGCAGAGAAAGUAUGUCUUUUGGUUCUGAGUCUAGUGUUCUUUCCACUGUGCCAUAUCAGCUCACCAAAUCAUAAGAGAUGGCACCACUUGUGGUGUUUUAAUAAAUGAACAGUAAAAUUUGGAGGGUUGAUUAUUUUCUACCAACUGUUAAGAAUGUAAAGUUAAGUUCUGCAGUCCUGACUGAAUUUUGGCCAUUUGUUCUUUGGAACAAAUGGUCUUUGCUGUAUUAUCAUAACUCAUGUGAAGUAGAUUAAUAAGAAAAUACAUAGAGAAUCACAUUGAUAAAGGUAUUAUAAUAUGCUGGAAAAGCAUAGGCUUUAAAAGUCAUCCAUUAGGGCGGAGCUGAGACCCAGACCUCUCUGCACCUUCCCUGCCAGAAGAGAGUCGGCCUCCAGGGAGGGCUCUGACCCCAGGACUCAUCUUGUAUCCCAGGUCUCUUAGAGACCAGACCGCUCAGGAGAGCGUGUGGGUUGCAGAAGCAAGAUGGCUUCUUGGACAGGGUCCCUUCAGGCCUUCAUCUUCAGCCAGGAAGCAGAGCUGAGCUCCAGACCUCUGUGCACCUUCCCUGCCAGAGGAGAGCUUGCCUGCAGAGAGUGCUCUGACCACUGGGACUCAGGAGAGAGUUGGACUCCCAGGAGUGCUGACAGAGGCUAAUAGAAUCACAGGAGGAACAAGCUCCAGCCAGAGAAAGCUAGAACAUCUAACACCAGAGAUUACCAGAUGGCAAAAGGUAAGAAUCUUACUAACAGAAACUAAGACCAGUUGGCAUCAUCAGAACCCAGAACUCCCACCACAGUGAGUCUUGGAUACCCCCAACACACCCGAAAAGCAAGAUUCAGAUUUAAAAUCAUAUCUCAUGAUGCUGAUAGAGGAUUUUAAGAAGGGCAUUAAUAACUCACUUAAAGAAAUACAGGAGAACACUUCUAAAUAGGUAGAAGUACUUAAAGAAGAAGCACAAAAAUCCCUUAAAGAAUUACAGGAAAACACUGCUAAACAGGUAGAAGUCCUUAAAGAAGAAACACAAAAAAAUCCCUUAAAGAAUUAUAGGAAAACACAACCAAACAGGUGAUGGAAUUAAACAAAACCAUCCAAGAUAUAAAAAUGGAAGUAGAAACAAUAAAGAAAACUCAAAGUGAGGCAACACUGGAGAUAGAAACCCUAGGAAAGAGAUCUGGAACCAUAGAUGCAAGCAUCAGCAACAGAAUACAAGAGAUGGAAGAGAGAAUCUCAGGUGGAGAAGAUUCCAUAGGAAACAUGGACACAACAG
rnacentral:lncRNA from 1 species